UCGGCUAUGUUUUUUUUUUGGACCUCUCGUCUCUUUGCUGCUAGCUAAAGAACACCGCAGAAUCUCAUGACCAUUUUUUUGGGGGGUUGUUUGGAUCUCGGUAUUUUCCAUCUAUAUUUCUAUACUUACUUUAAGAAUCAACACAACGAUUCAACUUAUAGUAAUCGUUGUUUGCUUUCAUCCAAUGCAAUCCUAUGGAGGUACAAUGGAGAUCUAAUUUGGGCAAUUGAAGGCAUAGAUGUCAGAAAUUGAACCCAGAUUUGGACGGUUGAGCGAAACGUGAUUGAUAGUUACCAUGUAUACUCUGAAUUUUGCAUUGUUUAGGUUUUAUCAAAUGGAAUCGAUUGGCAAGUCCUGUAACUCUUACCAUGGCUUCGUGCUGGGGAUAGCCGUACUGAUUUCGUAACAAUUGGUUAGUCACGGUAUGAAGAUUAAAAUGAGUGAAAACAUAAAUGUCAAAAUCGAUCUGUAUACCUCCAUAUCAGCCAAAACCAUAUUGAAUGCCUCUACAAAUUUGGUGGAGUACGUCUUUCACGUAUGGAGAACCCUUACUUGGAUCUUCCAAGUAGUCUUGUUUGGUUUCACUUCAUGAAGAAAUACAAAAGAUGCCGACAUCGUUAAGUUUGCUUGUAGAGUAUAAAGAUGUGUUUUUUUUGGUGGUGUAUUGAAUCACGAUUAGGCUUGUAUUUAUAGCUAGGUUGGAAGAUGAUAGGGUAGGUUUUCAUGUAUACGGAUUGGCUUGCGAGAGACUUUGGGUCUAUAUGAUUUUGAUGCAAUAUUAGGAAAAUAAUAUGUCUAUGAAUCAAUAAUUAGCGACAAUUAUGUAUCUUUGAAUGUUUAUACUGCUUUGAUUGAUUGGAAUUUAGGAUUA